rnacentral:rRNA from 1 species
UUUAUGGAGAGUUUGAUCCUGGCUCAGGAUGAACGCUGGCGGCGUGCCUAAUACAUGCAAGUCGAGCGAACGGACGAGAAGCUUGCUUCUCUGAUGUUAGCGGCGGACGGGUGAGUAACACGUGGAUAACCUACCUAUAAGACUGGGAUAACUUCGGGAAACCGGAGCUAAUACCGGAUAAUAUUUUGAACCGCAUGGUUCAAAAUUGAAAG